rnacentral:lncRNA from 1 species
UUGCUUUCGGAACGACCUACAUGUUUAAUGAGUUACAAAGCAGAACUGAGGCUUUUGAUCCUGAUUUUUCUCUCAGCUCCAACAGGUAAAAGAUUGUCCUCACAGCGUUAGGGUCUGCACUGAAGAGCUGAAAACAAGGCUCAUGGGGAACUGCUAACUGAAAUACAAGGUUGUGGCUUUAAAAGGAGAAGUGAAUGUAUCAAGAUGUUACAGUUUGUCAGGAGGCAGAAAAGAAAGGUGUGGUGUGUUGACCUUGGCCAGCUGACCACAUUGCUCUCUGUUCCCCUCCUCACCAAGUCAGUGGGAGAAAACAAAAAUAAAAGCUGAUAGGCCAAGGUAAAUGUAGGGAGAUUACUUACCUAUUCCCAUUGUAAGCAAAACAGGCUCUGUGGGCCACCAGGCCGCCUCUGCUCUUAGCACUCAGUGCCCUCCUCCUUCCCUCAGCAUUUUUUUCUGGCCUCAGUGUUAGCAGAGUUGUUUUUGCUUUUCCUUUACUUUGCACUGCUCUCCAGUGUUUUGCCCUUUCUGGAACAUUCGCACAGCGGCACCAGCGAUUCUUCUGAUGGGCUUAGCUGUGGAACCAGCUGUGGUAGGCCAGGCCCUUCUCCUCACAGAACCCGUCCUGCAGCCCUGCUGAUGCUAGCACCUGGCUGCCCGCAACAAAAGGAAAGGCUUGGUACCACACUGCGGAAACCACAAUCUGCUGUCCUCAUGCCAAGAUCAUAUGGGUGCUGAGCCAAGAGAACAACACAUCCCAUUCUGUGGCUCAAUGUGUCCACUACCAGGUGUUUUAAUUGCCUGAUAGAGCAUGCAGAAAGAGAUUUUGGAAUACUUUUCAUCUCAGAAAGCAUAAAGUAAGUUAUUGGCAAUUCCCAGUUAAUGCUAAUAGAGACAGGCCAAUGGCAAGGAGAACAGGAAAAGCACAAGUACGUCAUUCUGACUUAGCUUAAAUGAGAGUCUGAGGCUAAUCAGUGGCACUGUUACACUAGCAUAAUUGUUGUUGGGGAUGCACAGUACAGAACACAGAUGGCUUGUAUGGGCCAGUGCACUGCCAGCCUUUGUCCCACGUCAGAACCUAUUUAGUCAUAGUCCGGACAACCAGCCCUCUGUGUAAACUGUAUUGCACUUGGCACAUUUAGUGGGCAGUGCUGGACUUGCUGUGGGUAAUGGAGCUAAGCUGUGGUCUUGCUGGAGACAAAAUCAAAUGUCUCUGAAAGAGAGACUGAUGAGUCAUGCUUAUGUAGG